GACGAACGCUGGCGGCGUGCCUAACACAUGCAAGUCGAACGGUCCGGCGCUCAACCGACCCUCAGUCUAACUGUAGGGGAAGUUGAGUGCCGGGUAGUGGCGGACGGGUGAGUAACGCGUGGGCAACCAACCCUGUACAGUGGGAUAACACCGGGAAACCGGUGCUAAUACCGCAUGACACCUAUAUGGUGCAUACCGUAUAGGUUAAAGGAUUUAACCGGUACAGGACGGGCCCGCGUCCCAUUAGCUAGUUGGUGAGGUAACGGCCCACCAAGGCGACGAUGGGUAGCCGACCUGAGAGGGUGACCGGCCACACUGGGACUGAGACACGGCCCAGACUCCUACGGGAGGCAGCAGUGGGGAAUAUUGCGCAAUGGGGGGAACCCUGACGCAGCGACGCCGCGUGAGCGACGAAGGCCUUCGGGUCGUAAAGCUCUGUUCUUGGGGUACGAAGGGAAAUAGACGGUACCCAAGGAGAAAGACCCCGGCGUAACUACGUG
rnacentral:rRNA from 1 species